GCUCGCUCUCUCCUGCUCCACCAUGAUAAGAUGUGCUUGCUUCCCCUUCACUUUCCGACUUGAUCGACCUUCAAGUACAUGCUCCAUUGAACUCUCUGAAUUCAGCUGGCUAAAAAAGAAGAAAGAGAAGAUGGAGAAGGCACAACCAUUCUAAACUGCCUUGACAUGGAGGUGACACCAGUUUUAUUGUAGGAAUAAGUGACAUGAUUGUAUCUAAUUGCAAGGGCCUGGGAAGCACAACUAACCAUGCACCAAAGAAGACAAGAACACAGGCAGCUUGGGUCAUGUGCUACAGCUUUCCUGUGAUCACCUUGCCUCUGAAAUAUCUGAAAAUGGCUUUCUCUUCAUUCAUUUCUACAUCUUCAUUCAUUCUCCCAGGUCUUGCAAUGGUUGUGUUGGGGAGAUGUUCAUCAUUUAUAUCUUGUUUCCGAUGUCAACUCCUCUCUGAAAUAUGCCAUGUUAGCCCUUGGAGAAUUAGGUGGCGACUUAUAUAGCAUCUACUUUUGUGUUCAUCUCCUCUAAUGUUGAUUGG
rnacentral:lncRNA from 1 species